rnacentral:lncRNA from 1 species
CCAUCCCUCCCUCUUGGCAGAAGUUUGCCAUUGGAGUAUAUUUAGAUAUUUUUUUGAUUGACUAGAAGUGUAUUCGACUUUGCUAGGCGUUUGGCUGGAGAUGAGAGGCGGCGCUAGGUUACGAUAGCCUGCAUCCCGUCAGGCUCCACCAAUAGCCUUGGCAAUAGGAUCCCCUGAUACCCUUGGCUAUCUCCCAAGACUAUUUGAAGUA